GGUCUUAUAUUCAACUAUGAUUUUAAAUUGCAAAUUUAAAGGUAAAUUCGAAAUUUUAAGGCUU
rnacentral:tRNA from 1 species